UACAGAGGAUGCAAGCGUUAUCCGGAAUGAUUGGGCGUAAAGCGUCUGUAGGUGGCUUUUUAAGUCCGCCGUCAAAUCCCAGGGCUCAACUCUGGACAGGCGGUGGAAACUACCAAGCUGGAGUACGGUAGGGGCAGAGGGAAUUUCCGGUGGAGCGGUGAAAUGCGUAGAGAUCAGGAGGAACACCCGUGGCGAAGGCGGCACUCUGGGCCGGCUCUGACGCUGAGACGCGAAAGCGUGGGGAGCGAACGGG
rnacentral:rRNA from 1 species